UUUUUCCGCGCUAAUCCAUGAGGCGAGGCUAGGGGAUAAACGCUUCUCUCCCCCUACUUCUGUAAUAAUCUCCCGCGAGAGGAGAGCGGACAGCACUUUAUAGCGGCUGAGGGCAGAGAGGUGCUAGGACUACUUUGCGUUCCUGCCACGGCUUCGGCGGAAUGGGCGCGCUGUGCGAGAGCUGAGCGGUGCUGCGGCUCCCCUCAGCGCUUCCUGGAAACUCCCGCUCAGGAGGAAGGGGGGGGGGGGGGCAGGGUGGCAGAGAAAGAGUCCCAGGCCGGCUGCGGGCGGGCGCGCUCCCUCUUUACCGCCGCCCCCGUGAGGCGCGCACGGAACCCGGGCAGCCCUCAGCGCCAUUUCCCUUUGUGGAAAGUGAAGGACGAACUCAGACUUCCUUGUCGAGGAGGCCCUUUUCCCCCCUCGUAACGCACGGAACCUUGCCGCGAGCUCCUCAGAGAGCCCUUCCCGGGGCCGUGCCCGGGGAGCGGCGGAGUUACCGCUCGGGGGGAGGGGAGCGGAGUUUGUAAAUUGAAACACGGGUACGGGAGCGCCCAGCCCAAUCGGCCUGCGAAGCUCCGGCUGCAAAGGGCUGAGGUCAAAAAAAAAAAAAAAAAAAAAAAAAAAAAAAAAAAAAAAAGUGAAAUCCCUCCCUCUGCUGCCCCCUGGCUGCUGAGUGAGAAAACAGUAGAGCUCUGCCCUGACACACGGCUGUGGGUCACUCUCAGGCAUCAGAACCAUUCCUGCAUGGAACCCAUGGGCUCCAGCAGCACUGGGGCUGUGCUCAGGAAAAGCAGAGGGAUGAGGCACAGAGGCUGAGGAGGCACUGACACUGCACUCCAUGCAGGAAACCAGAAUUACCAGCCCACGGCACAGCCUCACCCAGGGCGUUGGCCUGAUGGAAACAAACACUCUUGGCCGUUUUCUGGAAAAAUCUCACCUGUGCCAUGGAGAGAGCCGAGGGCACCUGCAGGUAUGGAGCACUCAGGGUCUGCCUGUAGAAAUGGGUGGAGAAGCCCUUGAAGUUUGGUGAGUGGAAAGAGAGCGACUUUUAGCAAAUAAUCAUUAACGAAAAUCAUUUUCUGAUGACUUCAAGCAGUGGAGGAAGGGAUUCGCCUUGCAGCUCUGGAAGUGAUUCUCACAAAUCUGUGCUGACUGAGGCUCUUGUAAGUGAAGUCUGAACUCAGCCCUUGUUGUAAUUCUGUAAUUUGAAUAUCAUUUUCACAGACCUUGCAAGAUGCAGAUGAAUGAGAGAUUCCUGGCUUUGAGUCAAAUGCAACAGUAAUUAAAUGUUUAUAAAACACUUUAAGCUUGUGAAGUGCUAUUAUCAUAUACAAGAAAGCAAUGGGAGACUGGAGCAGGGUUUGAGGCACACAGUGAGUGCAGCACACUCCUGCAGUUUUCUUCUACAGGUGCUAACAGAGCAUCAUGAAGAACAUUACCAGGCUCCUUUUAUUAUAACCAGAAUAAGUCAAUUAGAAUUGCUUUCUUCCGUAUGAACAUGUGUGAUUGCAAAGCUUUUCCCUCUGCAAUAAAUAUCCCUGCCGAUGGGCAGCGUGCUGUUAUCAUCUUGGGAAAUGAGGAAGUGCUGCCACUUCUGAUCUCUCCCAUCGUGCUGAAGACGUUCCACCUGUUACAGGUUUCUAACACCAUCUGCUGUUUAAAAAUAAGACAGCACUGGAGAUACCAACACACAGAGUCUGUGCUCUUCUGAUAAACCAGAAGCAACGCCAGCUCAUCUAGAAGGGUUGGUGUAAUUGGCACAUUCCACUUUUGUUCCUUCAGCCCCGAACAUAUUUCAGCUUGUUCCUAAUUAGGAAGCGAAUGAUUUUUUGGGAACCCAGGGACCAGUGAGCAGCAGCUGAGAGCCAGACCCCAGCAUUCUCCCACUGCCAGACCUGACCCAAAGAAUCACAGAAUCAUAAAUUCAUUUGAGUUGGAAGGGACCUUACAAGAACUUACAAAUGUUUUUUUAAGAGAGAGCCAUAGGCUCCACAGGGAACUCACAAAACCUUUAUUUUCUCAAAAAUAACAAUAUUUACCUCUUGCCGUCUCCUGCUGCUGCUGUGUGAUGCAACAAAUGCUCCAGCCAAGGAUUCUUUUGCUGCUUCCUAAUUGAAAGCGAUACCAAUUUUUGUCCCAGGAAAAACAAGAGCACCUUGGACCUCAUUAAACAUCUGAAUCAAAGUUCUCAUCACCAACACUCUCAGUUUUUGUUGCAUGUGUUAAAAAGCAGGGAAGUAUUCUUAACAGUGCUUUUUCCAGAAAGAAGAGUUUUCUCCGAAUGGGUUCUAAAUGGCUUCACCCCGAGUCAACGCAGUGCUUCUAUUGCCACAGGUUCAGAAGAAAAAAAAGCCCACCCCAAUUAUAAAAGUUUAAUACCAAACAGAGGAUGCAGCUAUACGACCAUUCUAGAGUUGCUGGCCCACUUCCAACAUCACCCCCAUAUUUAACAUUUAUAACCCCCUUCACACACAUCAUUUAAAGAGUCAUUGGCUCUUUUUGUAAGCGAUCAGCUACUUACUCUGGCACUUUACAUGCACGUCCCGACAAAAGAGACCUUUUACAUGUCAAUUUAUUUUCAGACAAGCAUAUCUGAAAGGGAGUUUCUCUCCAGAGCAGAAUUAGUAUUAAUGGCAGGUGUUCCGGUGCCGCACAAAGGAGGAAGGCAGCAAGUGAGCUGCGCUGAGUGGUGAGACAGCUUGAUGUGUUAAUAACUAGAGCAAGAAAAUGGAGUGGCAGUAGACCUCCAGCUUCCAUAGCAUGAAUGAAGGUUUUAUUCAGAGCCACCCCUGUACUUGAAAAGGACUUUGAUAUAUUUUAAAUGUUGUCUUUGCUUUCAAAGGGGGAUUAAACUGUUGAAUGUUACAUGAAAGCACGGCACUCGCCCCACAUCCUGGCAUGUGCCCACAAUCCCAGAGCAUCCUGAGGCCCUGCUGGGGGCUGGUGGCACCCUGGGCCCAACCUCUGCCUCAUCCUGGGCUCAUCCCAGCCAGUGACUGGUGGCAAAGCUGCAGGAAAGAGUUGGAACUGCAUUAACUGACCCAAAAGUGGGGGCUGGCAGAGGGUGCCUGGAGCCAUGCUGCAUUUCACUAAGAAAAAGGG